rnacentral:sRNA from 2 species
UGCUUGGAAUUGUUGAAUUUUGAAGUUGCUUCUUGUUGCCCCGCCUAUCAGAAACAUUUUGCUUUACAAAGAGGGGUUGGGACAGUAUGAAUGCUUCACGAUGCAUAUACAAUUUAUGCAUAAUUCUUUUUCAAUACAACAUCACUCUUUCUGUGAUGCAUGCCAUCCAUUGAAUAGUCAAUCUUAGAAAUCCUCGUAUUGGUUGAAACACAAUUUUAGAUGGAUUGCGGUUGUGAACAGCCCAAUGGGCAUUGGGUCAACCGUUUUUCACAUCAGACAAAGGAAAGGAUGGAGUUGUGUUGCUGAACCCGGU